AGGAUUAUAAUUUAAAUAAAAUAUUUGAUUUGCAAUCAAAAAAUAUUAAUAUAAUUAAUUUAUCUUA
rnacentral:tRNA from 1 species